rnacentral:tRNA from 1 species
AAAAUUGUAAGUUAAAUUUAAACUUUAAUUUUUCAAAAAUUAAAAUAUAAUAUAACUCAAAAUUAUCAAUUUUA